UGAGGAAAAAACAAAGCAAACCGGGGAAGUACGUAGCCUUGAACCGGAGUAACCAGGGACAGAAAGGAAGGAAAAGGGUUUCAUACCUUCACGGAACGACGCUCACUUCGUCCGCCUGAGGAGGAAAAAUAAGUUUAAACCUUUCUGUGAAAAAGAACGUGGAGCCCUUUCUGCCGAAUGGAAACCCGCUAAACCCCGUUAUGGAGUCUGCUACAAUUAAGCAUCUAACCAGGAAUUGUCUAUGGACACAACUCUCCAGGCAAUUCAUGCAGAAAGUGUGUUGACGAUUUCCUGUUUCUUGCAGAGCGCUUCACCGUUAAGGCUCUUAGUAGCUGGCGAUUGUAAAGCACAUUUUCCGCUUCAUGAAAAUACAGUGCUCUUCUUGUGUUUGUAACCUUGGAAAGUAAGUCUGCUAUGAUAAGUUUAGGGAAGUGGCGGGGAGCUACUUUCCUAACAUAUCUGUGAUUGUUUUGAUACUUCUCAGUUUCUCGCGGGCAUUUCCUGCGUUCUCUAUAGGGCUCUCUUGCACUGAAUAAGGAAAGGAGGAAUUCUCUCUGCAUUGAGGCUAUUAUCGCACAUUGUGCGGUGGAUAUAGUCACGCGCUGGGUCGUAGUAGCGUGUCGUUUAUUUCAGUCCAGCUCACUCUUGGUAGAAUCCCUUUAUUCGUUUUGUUGUUUUUGAUAGUCUCUCUCUGCUUCCCAGGCUAGAGUGCAAUGGCGCUAUCUCGACUCACUGUAGCCUCCGCCUUGAGGGCUCAAGCGAUCCUCUCACCUCAGCCUCCCGAGUAGCUGGGACCGUAGACGCCUGCUCCCCAUCCCCGCUAUAUUCGUUCUUUAAUACAGUCUCUCAGCUUGUUCAGCUGCCACUUCUGUGCAGCUCAUUAGCCUGAUCGGUGAAAACUAGGCGAGACGCGCACACUGACCCUGCAGUGCAUCUUGGGAGUUGUAGUCAUAACUAAUCAAUGGUCUUGUUAAAACGUGCUUAUGUUUUGACCAGAUCGCUUAAGUGUGGACACCCUUCAGCAGUACACUACAACGUGGGUCAGUGUACAGAACACAUGCUGAUAGAAAUAAUUUCAAAAUCUGGAUUCAUAGUUUUUUUUUUUAAUCUAGAGACCUCAGAAAAUGUACUUGAAGAAAAUCAUCAUAAUAUAAUACAUAACAAUAGAGCCAAUUAAUUGAUGUGAUGAAAGUGGACAAAAUGUAUUUUGACCUCAGAGAAAAUAACAUUUCUGUCUUGGAAGAGUCAGAGAAUGCUUCACACAAUUUUUGAGCCUGAUGUUAGACUCUCCAGCCUUCUGUCCAAGCCUCACCCUUUGGUUACUCCCCAGGAAGACUGAACUUGGGAAGAGGAUUGUGCAGACCCUGGAGUCAGGCUUGGCGUUUGGGAUAGGGAAUACUAGAGUGCCCACAGCAUGGUCUGGAAAAGGGAAAGUGGGCUGCAGGUGGCUACAGUCCCAUGAUUCCAUGGAUUUCAGACCCCUCCAAAGCACAGGGCUCAGUGCUUAUCCAAGUCUGAGGGCCCCCCAUAACCACAUCUUCCCCAGCAGAUGUUCUUUGCUUCAGGCAGUCAUCAAAGUUCCACUUCAAAGAGUUGCUAACCAAAUAAGCCCACAAUCUUCCUUUUUUGUUGUUUUGAAUAAGUAAUGCCUUUACACAUAUGAAAUUAAAAAGAGAGGCCGGGCAUGGUGGCUCACGCCUGUAAUCCCAGCACUUUGGGAGGGCGAGGUGGGCAGAUUGCCCGAGGUCAGGAGAUCCAGACCAGCCAGGCCAACGUGGUGAAACCCUG
rnacentral:lncRNA from 1 species